rnacentral:rRNA from 1 species
CGGCGGACGGGUGAGUAACGCGUGGGUAACCGUGCCUCAUACAGGGGAGUAAUAGUUGGAAACGGCUGCUAAUACCGCAUAAGCGCACAGUACCGCAUGGUACGGUGUGAAAAAACUACCGGUGGUAUGAGAUGGACCCGCGUCUGAUUAGGUAGUUGGUGGGGUAACGGCCUACCAAGCCGACGAUCAGUAGCCGACCUGAGAGGGUGACCGGCCACAUUGGGACUGAGACACGGCCCAA